rnacentral:rRNA from 1 species
UACGGAGGGGGCAAGCGUUGUUCGGAAUUACUGGGCGUAAAGGGCGCGCAGGCGGCUGCUCAAGUCAGGCGUGAAAGGCCUGGGCUCAACCCGGGAAUUGCGCUUGAGACUGGGCUGGCUUGAGUGCGGGAGAGGAUGGUGGAAUUCCCAGUGUAGAGGUGAAAUUCGUAGAUAUUAGGAAGAACACCGGUGGCGAAGGCGGCCCACUGGCUCGAUACUGACGCUGAGGUGCGAAAGCGUGGGGAGCAAACAGG